GACGAACGCUGGCGGCGUGCCUAAUACAUGCAAGUCGAACGAGAGCGACCGGUGCUUGCACUGGUCAAUCUAGUGGCGAACGGGUGAGUAACACGUGGGUAACCUGCCCAUCAGAGGGGGAUAACAUCCGGAAACGGAUGCUAAAACCGCAUAGGUCUUCGAACCGCAUGGUUUGAAGAGGAAAAGAGGCGCAAGCUUCUGCUGAUGGAUGGACCCGCGGUGCAUUAGCUAGUUGGUGAGGUAACGGCUCACCAAGGCCGUGAUGCAUAGCCGACCUGAGAGGGUGAUCGGCCACAUUGGGACUGAGACACGGCCCAAACUCCUACGGGAGGCAGCAGUAGGGAAUCUUCCGCAAUGGACGCAAGUCUGACGGAGCAACGCCGCGUGAGUGAAGAAGGUUUUCGGGUCGUAAAACUCUGUUCUUAGAGAAGAACAAGUGCUAGAGUAACUGUUAGCGCCUUGACGGUAUCUAACCAGAAAGCCACGGCUAACUACGUG
rnacentral:rRNA from 1 species